CUUACGUCAUCAUCAUCAUCAUUUUUAUAUAAUUAAAUAAAAGUGUCGUAAAAUCUCAAAUAUAUAAUAGUGGAUAUGCCAAAAGCCUGUUCCACUAGAAGCCGAGGUAUUAUUCACCCAAAGUGUGCUCAGUCAGUUGCGCUUUGCCGACGAAUCGUAUAAUUACUAAUAUUCGAGUGUAUCACAAUUUCGUUACAAUUUGUUCAUUGUUAUUUAGUGCUAUAAUUAGUAUAUUAUUUUAUAGAUAGUGACUUGAUUUUCAAGAAUUUUUCCGACGAGAAAUUACAAUACUUUAUGAUAAAUGAGAAUGUCCAUACUAGGGGUGAGCAUUCGCUACUGCCACAUACACCCAAUAACACGCUUUCAAAUGUUCCUCUGAAAUACCCAAUCAAAGCAUUUGCAUGUUCUGAAAUGGUUGGUUUGUUUUCGAAAAUAUUUAUAUUCUAGAAUUACAUUUUUAACAUAUUUCUAGGUUUUUAUUGAUUUUUAUUGUAUGUUUGUUUUGUCCGGUUAUGUGCACAAUCGGAAACACAUGGUCGGGAACUGAGAUUCGUGGUGAAAUCGUUAAGCCCACAAACAAACGAAAAACAAAGCGAAAAUACAUAUUAUGUUAAAUUCAAAAUUGAAUUGGUUUUCAGAACAUUUUUCUCUCCCUUUCAAAU